rnacentral:rRNA from 1 species
GGGUCAGCAGGUUGGUCGUGCCAAUGGUAUGCACUGGCCUUGCUGAUUCCUACCUCUUGAUGAGCCAUAAUGUCAUUAAUUUGGUGUCGCGGGGAAUCAGGACUGUUACUUUGAAAAAUUAGAGUGUUUAAAGCAGGCAAGCGCUUGAAUACAUUAGCAUAGAAUAAUGAAAUAGGACGUUCGAUCCUAUUUUGUUGGUUUCUAGGAUUGACGUAAUGAU